GCACAUGCGUUGUUGACACAUGUUCGUUACGACUUUGAGAGUAUUCACAAACCCCAGGCCGGUGGUGGCUGGUCCGCUUCAAGAUGCUGAGGUGUGGGAGGUCCCUCCGCACCCCCUGGACACUGGAUACUGGACUCGAGGCGUCGGAUGAGCGGCCUUCAGUACCUCGUGGAUUGGGAGGGGUACGGCCUGGAGGAGAGAUGCUGGGUGCCGGUGGAGGACGUAUUAGACCCAUCAAUGCUGAGGGAGUUUCACCGCCUAUAUCCGGAUCGCCCUGCGCCUCGUCCUCCGGGUCGUCCUCGAGGCCAGCGUCGGCGCGCUGCGGAAGCCGCGCGUCAGAGGGUGGGGUACUGUCAUGACUUCCACCGAAGGUGGUUCCUCUCCCUGUUCGGGCGGUGCUCGGCGGUCGGUGUCGCCGGCCUACUAGCCAUCACCGAUCCAUUUUUCCAUUUGUUUUGUCUUGGGUUCUUUCACACCUGGUUUCAUUUGCUUUAAUUUCUGUGUGUAUAAUUACCCCUGUUGCCUGCUCAGGUUUGUGCGGGAUUGUUUGUGUCAUGUUGCUCGUUGAGGUUGUGCCUCAGUUAUUUUCACGUAUAUACCAAUUGUGUAUAAGUUUAAGGAGCGUUGUUUUUCCUCCUUCCGUGAGUAACUGUGUUCUCUUUUGUCAUGGGCGUUUAUUUGGUAUUGUACUUGACCCUAUUGCUGUGGACUUGCCUAUUAAAAAACGCUACUUGGA